rnacentral:rRNA from 1 species
ACUCCUACGGGAGGCAGCAGUCGAGAAUCAUUCACAAUGGGCGAAAGCCUGAUGGUGCGACGCCGCGUGGGGAUGAAGGUCUUCGGAUCGUAAACCCUCGUCAUUUGUGUAACAAAAGCAUUUCGGUUUGAAUUAACCCGGAAGCAAGUUGACUAAUGUAUGCAAAAGAAGGAAAGGGGAAGCGGCUAAACUCCGUGCCAGCAGCCGCGGUAAUACGGAGGUCCCAAGCGUUGUUCGGAUUCACUGGGCGUAAAGGGUGCGUAGGCGGUCGGGAAAGUUCGAUGUGAAAGCUCCGGGCUCAACCUGGAAAAUGCAUUGAAAACUAUCCGACUAGAGGAUUGUAAGGGAGACUGGAAUUCUCGGUGUAGCAGUGAAAUGCGUAGAUAUCGAGAGGAACACCAGUGGCGAAGGCGAGUCUCUGGACAAUUCCUGACGCUGAGGCACGAAAGCUAGGGGAGCAAACAGGAUUAGAUACCCUGGUAGGCUCUGCU